AUGCUCAAAAUUCUCCAAGCCAGGCUUCAGCAAUACGUGAACUGUGAACUUCCAGAUGUUCAAGCUGGUUUUAGAAAAGGCAGAGGAACCAGAGAACAAAUUGCCAACAUCUGCUGGAUCAUGGAAAAAGGAAGAAAGUUCCAGAAAAACAUCUAUUUCUGCUUUAUUGACUAUGCCAAAGCCUUUGACUGUGUGGAUCACAAUAAACUGUGGAAAAUUCUGAAAGAGAUGGGAAUACCAGACCACCUGACCUGCCUCUUGAGAAACCUAUAUGCAGGUCAGGAAGCAACAGUUAGAACUGGACAUGGAACAACAGACUGGUUCCAAAUAGGAAAAGGAGUACGACAAGGCUGUAUAUUGUCACCCUGCUUAUUUAACUUACAUGCAGAGUACAUCACGAGAAACGCUGGUCUGGAAGAAGCACAAGCUGGAAUCAAGAUUGCCGGGAGAAAUCUCAAUAACUUCAGAUAUGCAGAUGACAUCACCCUUAUGGCAGAAAGUGAAGAACUAAAGGGCCUCUUGAUGAAAGUGAAAGAGGAGAGUGAGAAAGUUGGCUUAAAGCUCAACAUUCAGAAAAUGAAGUUCAUGGCAUCUGGUCCCAUCACUUCAUGGCAAAUAGAUGGGGAAACAGUGGAAACAGUGGCAGACUUUAUUUUUGGGGGCUCCAAAAUCACUGCAGAUGGUGACUGCAGCCAUGAAAUUAAAAGACGCUUACUCAUUGGAAGAAAAGUUAUGAGCAACCUAGAUAGCAUAUUCAAAAGCAGAGACAUUACUUUGCCAACAAAGGUCUGUCUAGUCAAGGCUAUGGUUUUUCCAGUGGUCAUGUAUGGAUGUGAGAGUUGGACUGUGAAGAAAGCUGAGCACCGAAGAACUGAUGCUUUUGAACUGUGGUGUUGGAGAAGACUCUUGAGAGUCCCUUGGAUUGUAAGGAGAUCCAACCAGUCCAUUCUGAAGGAGAUCGGUCCUGGGUGUUCUUUGGAAGGAAUGAUGCUAAAGCUGAAACUCCAAUACUAUUGUCACCUCAUGUGA
rnacentral:lncRNA from 1 species